rnacentral:lncRNA from 1 species
ACGGUAUUUUUUAAAAUCCUACCCUGCGCAAUUAAAAUGCAGGACGUUGCCCAUUAUCCUAUAGGCUAUGGGAACCGUUGUCCACAAGGUCCACGCGCAAAAUGCUACAACACAGUCCCCUGCCAUGAAUGCUACGACCAGAGCUGGCGGUGCGAGUUCCAACAUGACCAAGAUGCCCGAUGUCACCAAGAACAACAACAUUGCCAAAGGAGCCAGUGCAUCCUUGCAGUCCAGYUCGGUUGCGCUCAUCAUACCCAUCAUGGUGGGGGGCUCACUACAGGGGCGCUUCUAGAGGGCUGUUGCGCAGGGAAUCGACACCGGCAAGACUUGAACAUCAGCGGCCGAGAUGGGGCAAACUUUUUUACUAAGAGCACCUUUUGUAUAUACUUUUCAGAAAGGCAGUCAUGUGCGCUCCUAACCGAAGAGAUUCGGUGGGUUCCGUGCUGGACGAGAACCCAUUUCUACUUCACUGAUGGGAGUUAUUUGCCCUCACACCUUCAAACCAGUAGGCCUUCACACCUCGCACACUGGCCCCAUGCUCAUAGGCCGAACGGUACGGUCCUCUCCCUGGAGGCAGUCCAUGAUGAGGAUGCACUCUGCUCUUUGAACCGUUUGGUCGACACCAGGGGGUUGCUUAGUAAUUUGUUAAGAAGUUAACAUAUCUAAAGAAAUGUUGGUUGAGGCACUUUGAAARUAAGGUAUAAAUGAAUCUGUGGCACAUGCACAGGCUUGAUGUACACUUGUGAUAUAUUUCUAGAAUAUGAAAUUGUAUGGGUUAGCAUGUGAGAUUUGAUUGUAUAAAUCAUGAUGUGAUAUGCUUAGAUUUGUUAAGGCCAGGCUCAAUUAACCUUUAAAAUGUAGGAUACUUGUGACCAUUUUCUUGUGUAAUAAAAAUAUUUUAACAUGAUGUUUCUUCUCCUGUCUCUAAAUUCUAAAGCUUGACCUGACAAGUAAUUUGCUCUGUUCCCACUUUGUGUCCAGCCCUUUAUUGAUCAC